UACAGAGGUCUCAAGCGUUGUUCGGAUUCAUUGGGCGUAAAGGGUGCGUAGGCGGCGCGGUAAGUCGGGUGUGAAAUCUCGGAGCUUAACUCCGAAACUGCAUUCGAUACUGCCGUGCUUGAGGACUGGAGAGGAGACUGGAAUUUACGGUGUAGCGGUGAAAUGCGUAGAUAUCGUAAGGAAGACCAGUGGCGAAGGCGGCGCUCUGGGCCGGUACUGACGCUGAGGAGCGAAAGCGUGGGGAGCAAACAGG
rnacentral:rRNA from 1 species